rnacentral:lncRNA from 1 species
GGCUUUGAUGUACUAUUACCUGCCACCAAAACAUCGUGAGGGAUUCAGUGAACGUCUUGAAACUUAGUAACACAAGACAAUUCACUGAAUGGUUGUUGGCUCUACCAGAGGAGUUUGAAAUCAACAACGUGUAACUACUUGGGCAUUGAGACUUCCGCUGCUUGAGGAAGUAUGUGAAAGGAUCGAUGUUGAGCAGAAGUGGGGUUAAAAUAGCCAACAAUGCAUCCCCCUUUACUUAGUAUAGUAGGGCUUGAAAGACUGGACAACUUGUUUUUCUUUCCUGUCCAGUAUUUUCAAUCCAAGCAAAAAUAGGAAAAGCCGCAAGCACCACUAGGCCCGGUCAUUGGUUGAAUGUCAAUAUGGUUCGAUAUUCAUUCCUUACUCAAAUAGGAAGGUGGCAGUCUCAAUCUAGCGGCGUGGUCCAGAACAAUUUCGGAUCCAUGGGGUUUUUGUUUUGGUUACAAGAAGUGAUUCUUUACUCUCUUGCAGCGCCUCGACUCGAGUUUCCACUGUUGGAUUGAGUGAGGUGACAAGAGCUGAAGCCAAGGUUCCUUGCUACACUCCAUAGAUAUUCGUACGAUUCUUGUGGAUUUUGGGUGUGUUUGAAUUUAGCCUCUCGUUAGGUCUUCACUUAAGGAUUGUCCACCUUCUCAAGCCUCUCUACCAUACCCUUAGAAAGUGACAACGGAUGACUUCCAUUACUAAAUGGAAGAACUUUUCAAACUAGUUGAUAGUUGUUCCCUGCCCCACAAUGGGUUCUAAUUUACUAAAUCACAUGUUUCUAUAUUCGGAACAUCACAUGUAGACUUUUUUGGGGGAGAAUCACUCGGCGCGAGGCCUCCCGUGUGAGGUCAGGUGAUGGUCAACAACUCAGGUAGGAAAUGCUGAAAAACGGCUAAUGAUGCAAGAGCUCUUUUCCCCUUAUACGCUCUAAAAAAAGGUAUGUCGGGUUUUUGGACCCUAUGUUGAGUAAGGUUUCCAAACCUUCCAAAAGUGAUAGGUAUGUGUUCUUUCUUGGCACUCUCUUUCUAUAUUAUGCCAACCUAAAAAGAGCGAUGGAAGGUGAAUUUCAGGUUCGAUAGUCUCGAGAAGGUAUUAGCCACCGGUGAUCAUACUUUCGUAAAAGCACCAUUGGGCAGUGGUUCCUCUCCUUCCUCUUCAACCUCGAACAAAAAAUUGAUCUCGCCAUCAGUUCGACUAAGAGUUCUGAAUCAAAAAAGUCAACUAAACUUUACUUAAGACGAAGGAAGCGAGUGCUGAAAAAAACCCGCUUUCUUAAGGUUUCAAACUACUAGUCAUUAAGACUACUAUGAAUGAAAGGUAAGGAAGUCCUUUUCUUGACUUAGCCUGCGUGCAUUAUACCUAACCCUUUCCUAAGAUUUCAAUCUCAACAAAGAAAUGAAAGCAUAACUCUUUGCUUGCUUGUAACGCUUCUUAGUCUUUUAUUUUAGCCUGCCUUGUGAAGAUCUCUCGAGUGUCUACGGCAGAUCUGAUCAGUCUCGCGAUGAAGAGAAUUUCCGAUGUUGAAAGGUAUCAUCACGACAACUCAAUUUGUCCGGUAAACUACUCAGGGCUCCCCAUGGUUUAGUAAAAGGGAGGGGAUAUUUUUUCUUCAUUCGGGUUCAUUCAUUAUGAACUAAAAAGUGGUUGGCUGAUUAGUGAGGUCUUAAAAAUGUCAUAGAAUUCAUGAUCAGCCAUUCCAUUUUUGCUUUCAGCAAGUAAGCGACGCGAAUCUAUGCUUUCUAUCUUUCAAUCGGAUACCAAUUGCUUGGAUGCGUUUGAAAGCUUCGCGAUGACUUGCAGAAAAAAUGCUUUCUAGGUUUGUCUUGUGUCUACGAAACAAACGGUCCAUUUAUUGAUGGGUGAACGACGGGGAGUGAACCCGCGCGUGGUGGAUUCAUAAUCCACUGCCUUGAUCCACUUGGCUACAUCCGCUCCUACCCCCACACAGGUUGAAGUCUCUAUCUACGAUCAGACCCUUUCUGAACUCCCCUAUAACCGCUUAUCAAAUAGAAGCUUUUUCCAUCACUAUAGUGGCAAGUCUAUUGUUGUGUUUUGGAAUUAGGGGAAACAAAGCUUCAAACAAAGAGGUUGGGCUAUUCACUUCAUUGAUUUGACUUCACUUUACUUAAUAUUAAAGAUAGGAGCCGGGCGGGCAAUGAAGGCUCAUUUAGUAGAUAGCGAACGAGCUGCAAGCACCUACUCCUAUCAAAAUAAAAAGCAGGAAGCGAAACUUGAACUUGAAGAAGCGAGCCUCUAUCAGAGAAAGCCAUUGCGCACUAGCCCCUUGUAUAGGGUUCUAAACCUGUGACCCCUAAACUACAAGCUUUCUUUAAAGCCCCUACAACAUGGGAUAUUUGAAGAAUACCCUUUCUAUAAACCUUUCUAUAAUAUAAGAGAAGCUCUUCGAGCUUUCUUCGCAUGCUUAAGCGCAUCCCCUUUCUAUUAGUAAGGUUGUCAAAUUUCCUUUAGUUCCUUUGUGACUAUAAUAUAAAUAAUAGGGGUAGGGGGCGCUAACAAGCAAGAAAAAGGGUCCGCUAAGGCGCAACGGCUUUCACGCAGCUGCUAUGCCCUUGCUUCUUGCCUUAUCUUUUACUAAGAAAAUAAUCUAAAUAGAAGCCUUUCUUUCUCAAAGUCAACUUUCUCCCUUCUUGCUUUAGUGAAAUAGGGGGCGCUAACGCGACCUUUCUUCAACUGGUUUCACCCUAUCUAUUCAUCUAUUUUCUCAAAUGGAUAUUUAGGGAUCUCUCUUGUUAAUAGAUCUUAAAACCAGAUCAAUAUCCAUUUCUCAAUAAAUCUAUUUAUCGAUAGAAAGAUAUAGACAUCUAUAUAGAUCUAUCUCCAUAUCUAAAUAUGGAAGAACCGACACUUAAGGGCGUAACUAACAGAAGGUUCUCACCCUAUCCCCGACAUUAUUCUCCGACGAUGUCCCCUGGGUAAAAGGUGGCCCUUGGACCACUUGACUGGUUGGAAAGGAGCCACCAUUCUCUUUCUUUCUUCUUCCGAUCAGGACAAGUGGGUUGGUUUGUUUUGUCCUCCUAUCUAUGCAAUUCUCUAUCUUCGUUCGUGAUCAUGUUGGGCGAAAGGUAGUUGUAGAGGAGCGUUCAGCCACUAUAAGGAGAGGGCCUUUUUUUUUCUUUAUUUAUUUUAUUUUCUCAUAUUUUGCCUUCUAUAUCUUAUAUAGAUUUUUUAGCGUAUAAUAAUUACCAAUACGAGGACUAUCGACUUCGUUUUCAACUUAUAAUAGAAGGGUCUCCUCUUCCUUCAUUUCGAUUGCUUAUUAGCUUACCGGCUGAACCAUCAUCAUAUGCUUGCUUGGUCACUUUCGUGAUAAGGCGCUUAAAAGGAUUCUGGAUUAUAUAUAUUUUGGGAACUAAAAGAGUGGCUGUUGAAAGGAAAGGGAAGCCAAAAAUUCUAGGGAAUCGACGUCCCCCAAACCAUUAGACUUCCAGGGAAGAAGAGUCCGGUCGCUAUUAAAACCCUUCUCGUAAAUCGAGGAAAUAUCAAAUCCAAUUUCGAUACUGGGUAGGAUUCACCAGCCGCUAGACAUAGCACAGAAGCCAACAGUAGUAUGAAUGGGACAGGAACUAUUUGACCUCUUUCAGGAAAAGUCCGUACACAUGGGGACACUGGCUGAUCCCGCCGACAGGAGCAAAGAAAGGUCUCUUUCGCCUACGAGCAUUUUUAUGAAGAAAGGAGUCUCGUACAAAGGGUUGAAAAGAAGGAUUUUACCUUAUUUCAGGUGGGUUAGUACGUGUCUGUUUGGGCAGAGGCGGACAAUGAAAAGAUAGAAAAGAGCGAAUUAUGCCAACCAACUCGACAAAGACAUUCAGAUAUGAAAAAGAUAAAGAAAUACAUGUUAAGAUGUGUUUUCCCAGCCAACUCGUACACGACCGUCUUUCUUUCGAAAACUUACUCUUGAAAGCAUUACAUGUUGCUACUAGAGGGCAAAAGAAUUAGCUUAUGAUAAAGAAUAACAAGGAAAAAGCUUUUUUCCCCAACGGAGGUGAUAGACCACCUUAUGGCCGAUGUGAUUACCAGCCAAAGGGCAAAAAGAUGGGGUUGAAUGGGACUCUACCAAUACCAAUCUCCUCUGGAGCAAGGAAAAGCAACUCUGCCUGGUAUCUGUAACGAUUAACAUAUUCUUUUUUUUUAGAGAUGGGAACCCUUACUUAAGAAUAGAGAGUGGCCGAGCAGUAUAGUAGUCUUCUGGACAAACUUGGGGUAACAAUCUCGAUAGCAAAAUCGAUAAUAUCCGAGAACGGAACCAUCGAGUUUGCUAAGAGAUUUUGGACUAAGAAUAUGCAAAUAGACUUAUCGCCAAUUUCUCUUAGGGCAUUAACUGUUUGUCGAACGACUGUGGGUCUUUGCCAAUUGUCAGUAAGAUAUUCAAUUUCUAUAUCGAUGCUUCAAAGGCUGGGAGGGGCAGGAUUCAGAGUUCGGUCACGCUUAUAUUCUACUCAAUCUAAGCGUUGGGAAUGAUUGAAAGCUGCUGCUCAGAAACCACACAGGUCACACUUACUAUCUUUAGAAUAUUGGAUUAGAAGGAAGGGCUUCGCUUUUCGAUUGCUUUUUGAGGCCGGUUUGGAUGAGCGUGGGCAAUUUUAGGAUUCACUAUCGCUUUCUGCUUGGAGCGGCUCACCCCCUUAUCACUUAAAGGGCGAAGUCGCUGAAGCGAGUCGAAAGGCCAAAGAGUCAUCUUUGAAGGCUACUAUGCAUCGUUAUUCAUAGUAGAGUGUAAGGUAGAUUUGGGUAUAGCAGGACUUGAACCUUCGACUAUUAGGUUAAAAGCCCAAUGCUCUACCAACUGAGCUAUACACCCAAAAAAAGAUGUAGUAGUAAAUAAGGAUUGGUACGAAAAAGAGGCCGGGCCCCCUUCUUCUCAUCAUACUACAGAGCAAGUAGAAGAAAACAUAAGGUCGCGCGUUAGCACUUCGGAAAGAAAAAGAAUGUGCUAAGGCGCAAGGGCUUUCGCGCAGCUGCUACGCCCUUGCUUCUUGCCCUUUAUUUCAAACUCAAGAAAAGCCUUGUUCGAUAUGAGAAAGAUGCACUCAAGUGGCCAACCUAUACAAGGGGCUUGGGCUCGAAAGCUGGCCUUACUCAAUAAGCACCUUUCUUAGUAAGGUUGCUUCUUUCCACCCAUUGAAGAUUCUAUCUACAAAAGAAGGUCAACGGGGGAUACUCAAAUUGCUCUCACUGACACCAGAGAAGGUGAGGUCAACUUUCUUUCCAGCCACCAUAUGGUUUACCUUAAAGCCUUAAGGAGAAGGGGAUGAGCAGUUAUCUAUGUAAUUACGGUCUUUGUUGGCCGUUGUUCCGGUCGAGCACUCUCUUUUCUUUGUCCAAUUCUAUCCUACCAAACAAGAUUGACUUCUUACCAACCCGCGAAGGGUUGUGAGGCUGGACCAGGUACGAGGAAUGAAUCUAUAUCUGUGUAUGGAAGUUUCUGGCCGGCGGCCGCUCAACUGUUCGAGCGCAAUGCAGUGGUGUUGGUUCCGAUUCGACAAAGGUAGAACGCUUGGUCGAAGGUCCAGUAUAGUAGGUAGCAAGCGUGUUCGUUUUGGCUCCCAAGCGAGAAUGAUAAAUAGGUGAUGCACCAUCCUUACUGCUACGUACAUUUUCCUUGACUUGACAGAUUCAUUCAAUUGAACCCACACUCAAAGGAGGACCACAAACUUGGGGCUCGACGAAACAGAAAGUUUCAGCAUGUUGAAAAUAGGGUUAGCAUAAAAGAAAGAGCCCAACAUUCAUUUCUGAAUGAAUAUUCAUAGCUGAGUCUACUAAAAGAGGGACCAGCCUCGUUGUGGUGAUUAAAGGACACCUCUGAUUGUUCACCUCUAAUGUGACACGUUCCCUCCCAGUUAUAUGAUCAACGGGAUCAGUCAUCUAGAGAGAAGGGCUAUUCUUCUUUCGGGGAGACAAAGUCAUCCCUUCUACUGAUCGAACCCUCAGUUCGAGGGCCUUCAUCAACAUGUUACGAAGCUCCAGUCUUCGAUGGGUCACCAUUACUUGACUUAGAAAGGCGAACAUCUGGGCAAGGGAAAACGUAGUGCGCCUGGUGCAAAUGGCUUUCUUUUUUCAUGAUAUACCAAUCAGAAUAUAGGGUCCUACCUACGUACAUCAUUGAUAGAAUCACUACGUAGGGGGGUGGUCAACUUGAUGCGGGAGAGGCAUGAGUGUAGUUCAAUCUUGUGGUGUAUUCAUUUAUAGUGAGUAGGGCCUCUUUCUCAUUGAUCAGUUCGCCUCCGCUCUAUUGAAAGGUAGGAAUUCCUACGACGGUUUUGUCAACGAACGCGUCUCGGGCCGGAUUGACUAACCUAAACCACCCUGUUGGAGUCUUUUCCAUAGUUGGGUGUCCGCUUUAGUGUGGUUUACGAAGGCUAGGCUAGGUUUGGUAAUAUCCAAAACAAAUGAAAAGAGAUCGGGGUUGAUAGGUGGUAGUUGGCAAGGAACUUGAUCCCCCCCCCCAAAAAAAAGGGGGAAGCCGCAGUCAAACUUAAAUUCUGGAAAUAAGUCUGGCCCUUUUUACCAAGUCUACCAGAUAGAAGAUGAUAGAGGGCCAACUAUCGUUGCCUUGCACAAGACGGUGCCCUUUCACUUUGAGUUCCUUCCUUCGUAGUCAAAUCUGAUGAUACUCUUUGGUGAUGUUACCUACCAAAUAAAAGGCCUACUGGGUGAUCGAAAUCUCUCAGGUGAGGACUCACUCACUCAUCUACUCCUUAUCUAUUUAAUACUUUCUUCUAUCUACAACAAAUAUUUCAAAGGCGACCCACCGCGCCGGGCUAUAAGAUAAGAUACAGUUCUUGUACUACUUGAUUGACUGGUAAGAAAGAGCUUCCAUAAGAACAGGAAGACUCUUGUAUGUACGGUAACCCUCUCUUCCGCUACUGGUGGACUAUUGCACAGAAAGGGCGAUAAAAAGAACCUUUCUUAGCGCGUUUUUUAAGUGCUUAUCUUCUACUAGUGGGGGGCGGCAAGGCCACGUUGUUCAGUUGGAAGCCUAAGCCCAGAAGGUAUGAACGAAGUAAGGGGCCCUUUUAGAAGAUAGGGGGCGGCUUUCUUCUGGUAGUAAUUGCGAACAUCUCUCCUCUUCUCUUAGCGUGCACAGUUUGCUUACAUGCUGCCUUAGGCACAUCUCUAUUUCUUAGUUUCACGCUGGACUAAUGAUAAUGAAUGAAAGUCAGUCUUUUAGUAAACGUAUAUAAGCAGCUCUUUAGUGUAUAAGCAAUUUUGUAGUGGUCGCACCAAAAGUACGGUGGAGGUUGGCUGAAGAUGAUGUUACGCGGCGUUCAGAACCAGUCUUGAAGUAAAUGAAUUAUAAAGAAGUAAGGAAAUGAGACGACUCUUUCUUGAACUAUAUCAUAAAUAGAUCUUCCUCUCCACACCAAUCAUGAGUUUUUCUCUAUUCCUCUCGUAUAUCGUCGUAACGCCCUUAAUGCUAGGUUUUGAAAAAGACUUUUCAUGUCAUUCCCAUUUAGGUCUGAUUCGGAUCCCUCCAUU